UUUCCGGUUGAUCCUGCCGGACCUGACUGCUAUUGGAGUGGGACUAAGUCACGCUAGUUAAAGGUAUGGAUUGGAGUACCUGGCGUACGGCUCAGUAACACGUAAUGAACCUAACCUAAGGACGGAGAUAACCGCGGGAAACUGCGGCUAAUACUCGAUAGGAAAUUUGGCCUGGAACGGUAUCUUUCCCAAAACCGGCUAGCCGUUAGACACGGGCCUUAGGAUGGCGUUGCGGCCGAUUAUGCUUGAUGGCGGUGUAAUGGACCACCAUGGCUGUGAUCGGUAUGGGCGAUGGAAGUCGGAGCCCAGAGUCGGCCACUGAGACAAGGGGCCGAGCCUUACGAGGCUUAGCGGUCGCGAAACCUCGCCAAUACACGAAAGUGUGAGUGGGCCACUCCAAGUGUCAUUCUUACGGAUGACUGUCGCUCAGUCUUACACGCUGAGAAAGGAAGGAGAGGGCAAGGCUGGUGCCAGCCGCCGCGGUAAAACCAGCUCUUCGAGUGGUCAGGACGUAUAUUGGGUCUAAAGCGCUCGUAGCCGGGCAAGUGGGUUCCUGGUUAAAUCCGACAGCUUAACUGUUGGGCUGCUGGGAAUACCGCUAGUCUUGGAAGCGGGAGAGGACAGAGGUAGUCUUGGGGCAGGGGUGAAAUCCAGUGAUCCCAAGGCGACCACCGAUGGCGAAGGCAUCUGUCUGGAACGUAUUCGACGGUGAGGGGCGAAAGCCAGGGGAGCAACCCGGAUUAGAUACCCGGUUAGUCCUGGCCGUAAACGAUGCGGACUAGGUGUUGCACCGGCCAAGAGCCGCUGCAGUGCCACAGCGAAGGCGUUAAGUUCGCCACCUGGGGAGUACGUAUGCAAAUAUGAAACUUAAAGGAAUUGACGGGAGCGCACCACCAGGGGUGAAGCCUGCGGUUUAAUUGGAUUCAACGCCGGA
rnacentral:rRNA from 1 species